rnacentral:lncRNA from 1 species
ACGACGAAAAAACCAAUGUAGACUUUGUGUUAUGCAAGAAAGAUUUUUCUCUUCCUUUCUCUCUCACUUGGCUUUUGUCUGUCUACAAAUGACUCUUGUGUAUCCUACUAAUAUGACUCCUCUUCCAACCUUGCGUAACUGGAUCAAGUCUAUAUCGGAUACGGAUCCUUUUAUCUAGGUUUGCUGCCCUGCGACACGUGGCAGAAGAGGACUCAAGGACACAUGCCAGACCUUGCGUAACUGGAUCAAGUUUAUACCGACACCUGACAUCAAGAUUUAAAUUUUCUGGAGCAACCUUUGAGAAGAAGGAUACAAGUGGUUUCAAAGCUAGCCACGUGGCUAAACCAUCAGCGUCAACUAAGAAUCCUAGUAAAAGAAGACGUAUAAUUCCCAAUUGUAUCGCCCCCUAAGAUGAACCAAGAAGUGGAUUUCAAUGAUGCGGAUCUUUUGGAUUGCAACAUAAGCACCAUAGGAGAUCUCAAUUCCUUCUCUCGGGUGAAAGUAGGUACUAUAAAAUCUAAUUCAACAUCAAAGAAGGCCGAUGAAGCAUUUGUUUCUAAGUAAAGUGAGACAUAAUGAUCCGCAUUAUUUAGGUUUAUACUCCACAUAAUAAGGGUGCCC